rnacentral:rRNA from 1 species
CCUACGGGGGGCAGCAGUGAGGAAUAUUGGACAAUGGGCUCACGCCUGAUCCAGCCAUGCCGCGUGCAGGAAGACAGCCCUAUGGGUUGUAAACUGCUUUUAUACGGGAAGAAUAAAGGACACGUGUGUCCUGAUGACGGUACCGUAAGAAUAAGGACCGGCUAACUCCGUGCCAGCAGCCGCGGUAAUACGGAGGGUCCGAGCGUUAUCCGGAAUUAUUGGGUUUAAAGGGUCCGCAGGCGGGCAAUUAAGUCAGGGGUGAAAUGGUGCGGCUCAACCGUAGCACUGCCCUUGAUACUGGUUGUCUUGAGUCAUAGUGGAGUGGCCGGAAUAUGUAGUGUAGCGGUGAAAUGCAUAGAUAUUACAUAGAACACCGAUCGCGAAGGCAGGUCACUAACUAUGUACUGACGCUGAUGGACGAAAGCGUGGGGAGCGAACGGGAUUAGAUACCCCGGUAGUCCACGCCGUAAACGAUGGAUACUAGCUGUCGGGACUUCGGUCUCGGCGGCCAAGCGAAAGUGAUAAGUAUCCCACCUGGGGAGUACGUUCGCAAGAAUGAAACUCAAAGGAAUUGACGGGGGCCCGCACAAGCGGUGGAGCAUGUGGUUUAAUUCGAUGAUACGCGAGGAACCUUACCAGGGCUUAAAUGCAGAAUGACAGGACCAGAGACGGUUUUUUCUUCGGACAUUUUGCAAGGUGCUGCAUGGUUGUCGUCAGCUCGUGCCGUGAGGUGUCGGGUUAAGUCCUAUAACGAGCGCAACCCCUGUCGUCAGUUGCCAACAGAUAAUGCUGGGGACUCUGGCGAGACUGCCGGUGCAAACCGAGAGGAAGGUGGGGAUGACGUCAAAUCAUCACGGCCCUUACGUCCUGGGCUACACACGUGCUACAAUGGCCGGUACAGAGAGCAGCCAUCCGGCAACGGAGAGCGAAUCUAUAAAACCGGUCACAGUUCGGAUCGGGGUCUGCAACUCGACCCCGUGAAGCUGGAAUCGCUAGUAAUCGGAUAUCAGCCAUGAUCCGGUGAAUACGUUCCCGGGCCUUGUACACACCGCCCGUC